GCAACAUAUGUUGUAGUAUUGUAUGUAUUCUUAAGGUUAGAUUUUGGAAAGCUUGAAUGUUUUUUUUUGAAAAAUUAAUUUUUUACAUAUACGUGUUUAUUUUUGUUUAGAGUAAACACUUUUGAAGUUUAAUUUGAUUUUAUAAAGUGUUUAGUUAGUUAAUUAAGUUUAAGGGUUAUGUUUAGGGUCUAGACGACUUACAUUUCAGUCCUCUGGUGAAAAAAUUAAAACAGACGACUUACAUUUCAGUCGUCUAAAUAUUCCCGCCUAAAAUUUAAAAAAAAAAAUAUUUUCCCGCUUAAAUAAUUUAAACCAGACGACUUACUUGUAAAUCGUCUGGGAAGUCUUCUAUUUUAGUUUCCCGCUAAAAAUAUUUUAAUUUCCCGCUAAAAAUAUUAAAGUCUUCUGGACG
rnacentral:lncRNA from 1 species